GAAAAAAUACUCAUAAGGUUCAGUGAAAAAAAAAAAGAGACUAUGAGGUGGAAGUCAUAAUCAUCGUGACAUUAUUAUAGAGUAAGUAGUCCAAAAAAGGACUCAUAUGACGGCAAAAAUUAAAGAAAAAA
rnacentral:sRNA from 1 species